AUGCAUAUCAAUAAUGGUGGGGUAACGUUUCAAUACUUCACAAUUUUGAGGAUGUGUUUUUGACUCCAUUAACUGAGACGUUCCAUGAGAAAUUAUUGUUCACUGUGAUGCAAAUCGAAACAGCAAAGGAAGACAUCUGACUGCAACAAAUUCUACUGACAAUGAGUCUUCUUCAUCGGUGUUAUCAUUUUCUGUACUAGCGGAAGAAAGGCUGCUAAUGAAUGUGCUAUCAGUGGAUGUGUUUUCAGUACAUGUACCAUCAGAAACGCUGCUAUUAAUGAAUGUGCUAUCAGUGGAUGUGUUUUCAGAUGUGUUUUCAGUACAUGUACCAUCAGAAACGCUGCUAUUAAUGAAUGUGCUAUCAGUGGAUGUGUUUUCAGUACAUGUACCAUCAGUGGAUGUGGAUGACACGAUCUGAUAGUUAAAGACACAUACAAUAAUAAUUAUAAAUAAAUGAGCCAGAUAGAUUUAGUUUACCGAUUUUUUAUGUGGUGGUCUUCCCAAUUGACGUUUCCCUUUGUUUAGUUUCCCUUUGUUUAGUCUUUCAGAAUUCUUCAAACGCCUUCCCAAAUAAAAUUUGCGACGACCCAUUUGUAACACUGAAUAAAAGUGCACAAAGCAUUCAAUAGCAUUAAAGGAACACUUCUAGCAUAUAACAGCCUGCUGCUGAACCACCUACAUUGGCAGAAAAUCCCACAAAUCCCACAAAUGAUUAAUUAAUAAUGUAGCAAUUAAUAUGCUUAUAAAAUCUACCAAGGAGAAUCCAUCAAACAAUAGAUAGAUUUAAAACACACUUACCACACUACUGAUCUUGUCUUCAAAGUGUAGCAAGGCUGAACUGCUUUCAAGAGAGUCAAAAUAAUCCCAAACUUGAGGCAGUGAAGGUAAGUCAAGAUUUAUACCAAAUUAUUAGACUUUGCUCUUUCUCUAGACAGAUUAAACUUAACAAGCACUAUUUAGAAUAAACAGCUGGACUAUCAGUGUGCAUUGCCCCGAGGCCAAGCCUUUGUGCUGCCUUCUGUAGACUAUUGAAGGCAAAAACCAGCUUGCUGAAAAGCAGUACUGCGUGGGCGUCGGCGCAACACGGAUGGGCCGGAAUUCCAAUGACUUCAACGCAUGCGUUUCCAAUCCCUCUCUUCAAUAAUCUAUGGUAGGACCAACACUGCCGGCCCUUGUCGACAGGUGUGUUGUUCUUGCAAAUCUCUCUGCUUCUUGUUUUUUGGUUCCUAACCACGCCCAGAUACAAUCAACACCAGGCCUAGUUGUCGGCCUAGCUAGAAACAACUCGGCCUGGAAUUGA